AACCGUGUACGUACAAGCAGUGGGAGCCCCACCACUAAGCCAGUGGUGAACUCCACAUACGCAUCCUUUGCUGAGGAUACGGUUAACGGAGCGCAAGCGACGUUCAACCUCAAAAGAAGCAGAGGGGGCUUAGUGGUGGGGUGACUGCGUACCUUUUGUAUAAUGGGUCAGCGACUUAUAUUCUGUAGCAAGGUUAACCGUAU
rnacentral:rRNA from 1 species